UGAAAACUUAUAGUCUCAUUGUAGUUAUGGGUAUAAGUAUACAUAUGUACUGUCUAUUAGUGACAUGUAUUCAUUUGCAGCUAUUUCCAUGCAGCGAUAUAUGUAAUGAUAUGAAGCUAUCAUCGAAAGAGGCAUUGCGAUAUUCUCCAAUGGGUGGUGGGAGAAUUCGAGUAAAUUCCCCCUACCUCUUCCGUAACUUUGACAGUUCCAUUACCGUAUCAAAGCUAACGGCAGCAUCGCCACGGAUAGUUCCCGUCUGUGAAUCGACGCGUGCGGUGGUCUGUCAGGUAGCAGCUCUAUUCGUGUCUCUUUUGUUAUUUUUUUUUCAUCUACCACCGCUACUUUUAAUUCUUAAUUGACCAAUUGACUCCAAAGAUCCGAUGGGUACAGAAAUGUAUCUCUAAAAUUCAGGAAAAAAAGAAUUCAUUUCCACCGCAUGUGAAACCGAACCAAAGAGACAUAUCAAUACAACUAUAAAAUAUCAGUAAAGUGAUCGUGAAAAAUAGAAAGAUUAAACUCUUCGA